UUAAAAUAAUAAGACUUGAAAAAUAAAAAUUAAUAAAUUGGAAUUGAGAACAAAAUAUAUUAACAUGUAAAAAUAAAGUUGAUUCAAUUGACAAGCGAAAACAAUGGAGGAAUGGAUGUUGUUGGGGGUUUACAAUUUCAUUUAUUCCGCUCUCUCUUACAUACUACCCUUGAAUAUUAGAUUGAUUAAUUGUUAUGCGACUUUCUUAGCCUCCCCUUAACCCGAUCCCUCGGUGAAAAGGGCCUAAUAUUAACUACUGGCUUGCUAUCCCUAGCCUCCCCUAGUAAUUAAUACCGCAUUAUAAACAGAAGUUAGCGUAAUUGAUCGGCCUACCCCUAUCCCUAGGUGGUAUUGCAAAAUCAAGAGAUUACUCACCAGUUCAUAUGAUAACCCAACAAUAAAGACAAACAUCGAUAUACCGAAUGAGUUAAACGAUAAAAGCCUUAAGCACAUAUGAUAACCCAACAAUAAUCAAUAAAAGCAUAUGGAGACCAUAUAAAUAAUCAAGAGUUUUCAAUAAGAGAGAGCAUCAAAAGAUUACAUAGUUUCCCCCAACAACAAUAGGGUUUAGUUCACCAUAGACAUGGUGAAACUAGAUGAAAAAUGGAAGAGGAAUGGAAAAGCAAACCCUAGAAAAUAUGAAAAGGAGCCUAAGCAUCCAAGAGAUCCUUUCCAGAGAGCAAAAUUAGGUUUGGCCGUUCUCCCCUGUCAAAAGAAUGACUCUGAAUUCGUAAGGGGGGUAUUUAUAGGUGAGGAGCGCGUCAAAGAAAAAACAGGCCCAAGUCCAGCGUGCCACCGCCGGGCGGUUUAAGUGUGCCGCCCGGUGGUUUCCCUUAACAUGCCAUCGCCGCCCGGCGGCCAUCGCCACCGCCUGACGGUUUCCCUCAGCGUGAAAUGCCCUGCCUACUCCUCGUCAUUGAUCGCCCAACGGUUUAAGAGUGCUUCUUGGCGGUACGUCGACUCUUCAAAACUUCAUUUUUCUGCUCUUUUCUUGAGUCAACGACUUGUAUCUUCAACUCCAUUCAUUCUUUUCUCAAAUUAGCUACAAAAGAAUGCAAAAUAAGCAUAAAAUCGCUAAAAACAACUUCUGACUUUCUCCAGACUCAUUUAUUGAGUUGUGCUUGAUUCUGAGCUCAUUCGAAGUAGUAAAGGAUGUAAUUUGGUCCAAAUUGACAUAUGAAAAUAACUUUUUUUCAACCUUCAUCAACACCCCAAACUUAGAAUUUUGAUUGUCCUCAAGCAAAACAAACAAAUCAAUCACACAAAACAAAACUUGGCUUUAUACGAUUUCAUCAAAUGCCUCAACAAUCCUAAGGUACAUGACAAAACCACUCAAUUCAAUAUCCUUAGUGAAAUCCAAAAUAAGAUGCAUGCAUCCUUUCAACCCAAAGAUUGCAUAAUAGAUGUUAUAUACUAUGAAUGAUCAAUCCACUAAGGAAAAAUUUACUCAUGAAAUUUAACAAUUCAUACCACGUAGGUGUUUCACUCAAUCACUCAAGUGUUGCAGGUGACACUGCAACUCUCAAUUACUCACAAGUCGCAUGAAACAAAAUUGCUAUUCAUCUAAAACAAUCAACAUCUUUACAUGGAAAUGCCAUCAAAAGGACUUUUCCAAGGCUUGAAACGAGGUUGGGCGAACAAGAAAGAAUUGGUUUUUCUAGAAUGCAAAAUCCUUGAGUCAAGAGAGCUAUCAAAAUUUCAACAUUUAAGCACAACUCUCACCAAUGUCUCUCAUUCCCAACUUUCCCCUUUNCUUUUUCUUUUGCAUUGAGCUCUUCUUCAUGCUUUUCUUCUUUUCUUUUCUUUUUCUCAUGAAUUUUCUUUUCACAAUAUUUGAGCUCAAUGCUUUUCACUUGCUUUUUCAAUUUUCCCCUGCACAACCCCAAACUUGAACCUUUUCAUCACAUACAAUUAAGCUCAUCCCAACUCAAGGAAAAGAAUUUCAAAACAAAGGUUCACAUCCUGUUUAAGGCUAAGGUUCAAAAAGGGUAUAAUAUUUCAAACACUUUGGGUGAAAAUUUGGCUAGAGAAGGGUUUUCAAAAAUGGCCUUGAUCAUAUGACAUUUACAUGCAAUUCAAUUGAUCAAGAUUAAGGCAAUAUCAUCCAUGGUUUCCUGUGAAUAAUACAUGCAACAAUAAAAACUCUGGAGCUCAAAAUCUCACACACAUGCUGCCUCACAAAAAAUUCAUUCAUACACCAUGCCUAGCAUUAAGACCACAAUCAUAAAUUCAUCACCCAUCUAUUUCCUGGAUAUCAUCAUGCAUUACAACUCAAUUUUCAUCCACAACCAGUAAUCAUCAAGUAAAUUCAUCAAGCACAUCAGGUGGUCCAACAUUUUCAGAGCAAGUAGUAAAGCCAAGAGUACACACCAAAAUAAAAAUAAAAAUUCAACCUAUUCUAUGAAUUUAAAAAGAAACAAAAUAAAACAAAUAAAAGAAAGAAAUAAAAGUAAAAGAAAGAAAGACUAAGUCCUGUCUAUAGACAUCCCUCAGUAAAUGUCUGCUAUCAGCCCAUGCUGUCAUCGGAGUCGUCCUGACUCUCAUCAUCUGCGUCCUCAAAGUUCUCCUCCUCAGUGUUCGGAGCUCCAGCAGCUCCAAAACCACUACUCUACUCUUGCUGCUCAGGCCAUGCCACAAUUGCAUGAAACUCAUCCAUGGUCCACCUGUGUGCUGGUGGAUGGUCAUAUAAUCCAAUGAUCAUUUCAGCUGUCGUCACCUGCCCUCUGUGAAACACCUCCAUCCGAGCCUCCAUCAUGGACAUAUACAUGUCCCUCAUCUGGAAGGGCUUCGCGUGCUGAGCUGGUACCUCAUCGGUCACCUGCUCCUGUUGAGAAGCGGCUCUCCUACGCCGCCUCCAAGGUGUUGCCCCUGCUGCAUCUACUGCACCGGCUGCUCCAACUACAACACAAUACUGGUGAAAAUAUGCCGCAUCAAUAGUAUUCCUGAGUCUCUCAAAUGGGGGAACUACAGUGUUCAUCCUAGCCCGCUGGCACAGAAAAGUGAUCAAGGAUGGAUGCCCAAAUGGCAUCCUGCUACUGAUGGUCAUAUCACAGCUCCUAAUCUCGUCAGCAAUGAUAUGGCCGACAUUCACCUCCAUCUGUCUCAUCAAGCAGAAGAUGAGAUGAACCCUGUGAAUAGUGAUAUCUGAGAUGUGGGAGCACGGUUGGAUGUUGGAAUGUGUGAACGUCAUUCAGUAUCUGGCCAAUGGGGUCAUAUCCAACCGUCGAAUGUUCACCGGCCUACCGCUAGCGUUAGGCUGAAAGUGUCUACCAGGAAGACACACAACCUCCUUAAUGUUAGCCACAACAUCAAGUACACCAGAAUAGGUUGCAUACUGGCAUCGCUCCCUUGGCCACUCUAUUCCCAAGAAGCUGUUAAUGGUGUCUGGGUCAUAACUGAUAAUAUGCCCCCUCACGAAGCUCAUAAAUCUCCCAGCGUCCACUCUUCCUCUGGGUACCGCGUUGGUGUAAAACUCCUUCACCAACUUCACACUAGCAGGUGUCGGGUAAGUCGUCAGUUUCUCCCAAUCUCUCCUCAGAAUCUCCUCCUCAAACUCAGGAACCAAAAUAGGUAAAAAGGAGGUUUUCCUCUUCAUAAACAACCUCCUUUCUUGUACAGUAGCAAAGUGUUCCUCAUGUUGCUUUGAGAGGAACCUUUGAGAGUCAAAUCCUCUCGAGCUUUCUGGCAUCUUCCUUUUGCCUCCAGUGUUUCUUGUCCGUCGUGAUGCUGAAGCCAUUUUUGUAACAAAUACAAUAUGCCAAAAACCAUAGAAAUCCAUUGUCUGGAGUUAAUCCAUCAACAAGUAUUCAGAUCCAGCAAAAUUUUCAAAAUGAGUGCACAAAUUCCCCUCAUCCAUAAUACAGAAAAACCAUAAGAACACAGCAUACCGCCUGACGGUACAGAGGCUUACCGCCCGACGGUAUGCAUCCAGCUUGAAUACCGCCCGGCGGUAGAGGCAUACCGCCCGGCGGUGAGGGGGUUUUCAAACUUUUUCCACAAAACACUCCUAAUCUCUACUCAACUACUAAUUCCUAACAUGCAAUUCAAUUCCAAACAGUUUAAUUGGUCCAAAACAGUUCCCAAUUCAACAAUUUAUGCAAAGAAUCUCAAAGCCCUAAAUUACCUAAUUUCUAAACAUGCUCAACAAGAAUUUAAAAAUCAAGAACUUAACAAAUAAAAUUUUACAACUUACUUGAGUGGAGAUAUGAAUGCUAGCAACAAUUCCUUCAAUAGAUGAUGGGAAAUUCUAAAUACACACUCCCAUUAAGAAAACCAAAAGAUAAGCAAGAACAAAACCCUUUUUGUUAAUGGGUGUUGAGAAAUGUAGAGAAAUCUCUCUAAAACCCUCUAGGAAGUGCAAAUCUGGAGCAAGGAAGCAAGGAGACCGCCUGGCGAAACUCAAAUGGGCAAGAAAAAGUGAGGGAGUCUUGAAAAUACCCAGCUUUUAAAGAGCUCGGGUUUCUGGUCCGCCGCCACCGCCCGACGGCAAAGUGGUACCGCCCGACGGUGGCUUAAAAUUUUUCCUUCCCUUUUUUCUUGUUUGCCUCUUUGUGAUUUCUCCUGGGGACUCCUGAUCUAUGCCCUAGAUUUUCGAAACAGAAGAUUUUCCUCACUCAAAUGCAUGUGCACACACAGAAUGUAAUAAACAUAAUUUGAAAAACAGAAAACAAACACGAAAAUUCAAAUAAUGAACUAGCAGUUUAGAAAGUCUCCCCAAACAACCAUCGAUAGGUGUCACGCUUCUUAGUGCUUGGUAUUUCCUUCUUCUUCUUCUUUAUGCUAAACCCCUUCAAGAAAUUGAUCAUGCCAAACACGUGUUUCCAAGCAUCAAUCAUAGGAGCCUUGACCUCUAAUCUGUCAAAGAUCUCCUUGAAAUGCUUAACCCUAUUUUCCUUCCUAGGGUUUUUCUUUUUAUGAGGAAAUGGUUCUUUACAUGUCUCUUUUUUUUUCUCUUUUCCUUCUUCUCUUAAUUUUCUCUUUCCUUGACCUUCCCUUUUUCUUCCUCCUCCCUUUCUUUAUUUUCAAUUUUUUUUUCUUUUUCUUUUCUCAACCAUGGCUCUUCCAUCCUCAUAUUUCAUCUCACUCUCAUUUUUUAUUUCUAUUUCCUCUAUAUUUCUCUCAACAACAAUUUCUUCUAUUUUUGUUUUCUCUUCCAACAUCUCCAGCUCUUCUUCUUCUUUCUUUUCCUCGUUGAGAACCUUAUCAUGUUCAAAGUUAGUUGCUUGAUAUUCUUCUUUAAGGUUGACUUCAGUAUCAACCUUAAUAAUACCCAAAGCCUUCAGGGCAUGAGAGUGUUGUUUCUGCAAUAAAUGUGCUUGUGCUUCUCCCAAUGUUUCUUUGUGUACAGGAGAUUGUUUUUGUUGUAAAUGUUGUUGGACUUCCCAAAACGUUUCUUUUGGUCCAGAGACCACAUACUGCCGCAAGAAUUUUUGGACUUCCCCCAACGUGUCUUCUAGUAUAGAGAAUAAUUCCUGUUGUAAACGUUCUUUAGCUUCCCUUAAAGUUUCUUUUUGUGAGGAGGACUGAUGCCCUAAGUGGUUUCGAUAUAUAUUUGAAAAUAGAUCCCCACAAUGGUUGAAAUCAUUUUGGUAGAAUUAAGUGCCCAUAUAAUCAAGUUCUUAUUUAAACUGCAUUCUGCAAACGUUAGGCACAAAACCCUAGAAAACAUUUAUUGGAAUAAAAAUAAAAAUGAACAUAAAAUCAAGUCAAACUCAAUCAAUCCACACUACUAAAAAAAUAACCUCGAGUCCCCAGCAGCGGCGCCAAAAAACUUGUUGACAAAUUGGCAAGUGUACCAAAUCGUACAAGUAAUAUAAAUGGUAAGACCAAGUAUCGUUUUUCCCAAGAGACUCGUAUGGCUUUCUCGUUCGCGUGAAUUAAAAUAAUAAGACUCGAAAAAUAAAAAGGCUUAAUACCUCCCUUGGUCCUCAUAUUUGUGUGAAAAUCUUAGUUCGGUCCUCAAGUUUUGAACUGUCUCAAUUGGGUCAUAAUUUUUGUAAAAAUGCACACAUUUUACCCCAACUGUUAACUGAUCUCAAACAGCGUUAAGUUUAGCUGACGUGGUACGCUGAUGUGUUGGCUUAAUCCCUUCUUGGUCCUCGUAUUUGUGUGAAAAUCUCAGUUCGGUCCUCAAGUUUUGAACUGUCUCAAUUGGGUCAUAAUUUUUGUAAAAAUGCCCACAUUUUGCCCCAAUCGUUAACUGAUCUCAAACGGCGUUAAAUUUAGCUAACGUGGUAGCCAGAGGACAUGAUGACGUGUAUUAUUUAAUUAUAUGAAUUAUUUUUUAAAAUAAGCAGUGUUUCACGUGGCACAAUGCCUAUUAUUUAGUUUAUUUGAAUUAGGGAUUUUAUUCAUCUAUCUGAUAAUCGGGGAUUUUACACAGAUUAUCUCGUCGCCUCAAAAAAUAAAGUCACUGGAAAACUCGCGUAACCAGUGCAAUCAGUCUCACAGCUUUUUCUACAAAUGAACCAACUUGGUAACCUAUAGGUUCAUCACCAGCCUUUAAGCUAUUUAUUCCACUAAUAGUAGAAGAUAUCUGUUGUUGCACAGUGAGAUUAGUUAGCGAUUGGGGUAAAAUGUGUGCAUUUUUACAAAAAUUAUAACCCAAUUGAGACCGUUCAAAACUUGAGGACCGAAUUGAGAUUUUCUCAAAAAUAAGAGGACCAAGAAGAGAUUAAGCCAACACAUGAGCAUACCACAUGUUGAUUCAAUUGACAAACGAAAACAAUGGAGGAAUGAAUGUUGUUGGAGGUUUACAAUUUCAUCUAUUCUGCUCUCUCUUACAUACUACCCUUGAAUAUUAGAUUGAUUAAUUGUUAUGCGACUUUCUUAGCCUCCCCUUAACCCGAUCCCUCGGCGUAAAGGGCCUAAUAUUAACUAUUGGCUUGCUAUCCCUAGCCUCCCCUAGUAAUUAAUACCGCAUUAUAAACAGAAGCUAGCGC
rnacentral:lncRNA from 1 species